AGUGAACGCUGGCGGUAGGCCUAACACAUGCAAGUCGAACGGCAGCACAGUAAGAGCUUGCUCUUACGGGUGGCGAGUGGCGGACGGGUGAGGAAUACAUCGGAAUCUACUUUUUCGUGGGGGAUAACGUAGGGAAACAUACGCUAAUACCGCAUACGACCUACGGGUGAAAGCAGGGGAUCUUGGGACCUUGCGCGGAUGAAUGAGCCGAUGUCGGAUUAGCUAGUUGGCGGGGUAAAGGCCCACCAAGGCGACGAUCCGUAGCUGGUCUGAGAGGAUGAUCAGCCACACUGGAACUGAGACACGGUCCAGACUCCUACGGGAGGCAGCAGUGGGGAAUCUUGGACACAGGGCGCAAGCCUGAUCCAGCCAUGCCGCGUGGGUGAAGAAGGCCUUCGGGUUGUAAAGCCCUUUUGUUGGGAAAGAAAAGCAGUAGGUUAAUACCCCGCUGUUCUGACGGUACCCAAAGAAUAAGCACCGGCUAACUUCGUG
rnacentral:rRNA from 1 species